rnacentral:ncRNA from 1 species
AAUAAAUUUUUUAUGGUUUAAUAAAUUUAUAAUAAGUUUAUUUUACAUAUAAAUUUUAGUGUUAAUUUUUAAUUAUUUUAAUAAUAAUUAAAGUGUUUAUUAUAGUAAAUAAUUUUAAAAAUUUAAGAAAUUAAGAUUUAGUAGUAUAAAAAUUAUUAACUAAUUUUGUGCCAGCAGUUGCGGUUAUACAAAAGAUAAGGUAAAUUUUUUUAGUAAUUAAUUAAUAAUUUAUUGGGGUAAUUUAAAAUUUAGAUUAUUAGGUGAAAUUUUAAUUUAAUAAAAAUUUAUAUAAAAAAUUAUGUUAUAUUAAUAAAUUUUAUUAAAAACUAGGAUUAGAUACCCUAUUAUUAAAAAUUUAAAUUAGUAAUAUUAAAAUAGUAGAUAAUUAUUUAUUGAAACUUAAAUAAUUUGGCGGUAUUUUAGUUCAUUUAGAGGAAUCUGUUUAUUAAUUGAUAAUCCACGAAUAAAUUUACUUAAUUUAAAAGUUUAUAUAUCGUUGUUAAAAAAAUAUUUUUUUAUAAUAAUAAUAUUUAAAAAUUUAAAUUAUAAAUUAAAUCAGAUCAAGAUGUAGUUUAUAAUUAAGAAUAUAAUGGAUUACAAUAAAUUUAUUUAUAUGAAUUUUAAUUUGUAAUAAUUAAAUAAAAGUGGAUUUAAAUGUAAUUUUUUUUAAUUUAAAAAAAUGAUUAUAAAUUAGAAUAUGUACAUAUUGCCCGUCGCUUUCAUUUAAAAGUUGAAAUAAGUCGUAACAAAGUAGAGGUACUGGAAAGUGUUUCUAGAAAGA